rnacentral:ncRNA from 1 species
GAGAACACAAUACGAUGAAACUUGUAAGCUGUGUUCGGUGGGGAGUUAUUAUCUAUCGUUGGCCUCUAUGGAAAACUCAGUUGGGGGACCUGAGAGGCGGUGGUUUACCCUGC